rnacentral:rRNA from 1 species
UGGGGAAUAUUGCACAAUGGGCGAAAGCCUGAUGCAGCGACGCCGCGUGAGGGAUGACGGCCUUCGGGUUGUAAACCUCUUUCAGCAGGGACGAAGCGCAAGUGACGGUACCUGCAGAAGAAGCACCGGCUAACUACGUGCCAGCAGCCGCGGUAAUACGUAGGGUGCAAGCGUUGUCCGGAAUUACUGGGCGUAAAGAGUUCGUAGGCGGUUUGUCGCGUCGUUUGUGAAAACUAGCAGCUCAACUGCUGGCUUGCAGGCGAUACGGGCAGACUUGAGUACUGCAGGGGAGACUGGAAUUCCUGGUGUAGCGGUGAAAUGCGCAGAUAUCAGGAGGAACACCGGUGGCGAAGGCGGGUCUCUGGGCAGUAACUGACGCUGAGGAACGAAAGCGUGGGUAGCGAACAGG